CUUUCAACAACGGAUCUCUUGGUUCUGGCAUCGAUGAAGAACGCAGCGAAAUGCGAUAAGUAAUGUGAAUUGCAGAAUUCCGUGAAUCAUCGAAUCUUUGAACGCACAUUGCGCCCCUCGGUAUUCCGGGGGGCAUGCCUGUUCGAGCGUCA
rnacentral:rRNA from 7 species